AUCUAGCUGACAAGUCCCGAAUAGGACGAAACGCGUGUUCUGGAU
rnacentral:hammerhead_ribozyme from 1 species